CUGAUUCCGCCAUUAUUGGGGGAGCAGAAAAGUCUAGUGUACUAGUGUGUUUAAUGCAGAAGAUAAUUAAAGAGUUUUUUUUUUUCCUACUAUCAUCUCAUCCAUCCACAUAAACACUUGGCCUGAUUUAGUUUCUUUGAAAGUUCUUGGCUUGUCCUCCUUAAAUUUUCGAUAUCUUUAAGGUAAGAUCAUCAAGCUUCCAUUUUUGAGAUCUGGGUUCCGACAAAGAUUCUUCUUUUUUUUUUCUUUGUCUCUACCCAUCUCUCAUUCCCCCUAUUAUCGGAUCCUGCUCGAAUCUUUUUACAGGUUUUAGCUCAAUGUAAAAGAAAGUUCAAAAAAGAUUCAAACUUUACCUUUCGAGCUUUCAAAUGGGGGAGACACAGAACCUACACUUACCUCUACGAACUCGGUCUUCUCUAAAGAAGCCCUUACUGAUCAUUCUAUUGAUCUGCAUCACAAGCGUGCUCUUAAUCUGCACUUACAUGUACCCACAGCACAGCGUUAAGAGCCCCGCUUGUGAGGGUUUGUCCAGCAGAGGCUGCCAAGCCGCGCUCUCCGGAUGGCUUGACGUUCACGUCAGGAAACACACAGACGAAGAAGUCGCUGCUCGUGUUGUGAUCAGAGACAUACUCAGAAUGCCUCCGGCUCUGACCUCUAGAUCGAAGAUAGCUUUCAUGUUCUUGUCUCCUGGUACUUUGCCAUUCGAGAAGCUCUGGGAUAAGUUUCUCCAGGGUCAAGAAGGGAGGUUCUCGAUUUACAUACAUCCCUCGAGGUUAAGACCAGUUCACAUCAGCCGUCACUUUACGGACCGUGAGAUUCACAGCGACCAUGUCACGUGGGGAAGGAUCUCUAUGGUUGAUGCUGAGAGGCGGCUUCUGGCAAACGCUCUUGAAGAUCCUGAUAACCAACACUUUGUUCUUCUUUCUGAGAGCUGCAUACCGUUGCAUACGUUUGACUACACCUAUCGAUAUUUGAUCCACGGAAAUGUCAGCUUCAUUGACAGUUUUGAGGAUCCUGGUCCGCAUGGGACUGGUAGACACAUGGAUCACAUGUUACCUGAAAUCCCCAGGCAAGAUUUCAGAAAGGGUGCUCAGUGGUUCACAAUGAAGCGUCAACACGCUUUGAUAGUGAUGGCUGAUAAUCUCUACUACUCAAAAUUCCGCCAAUAUUGCAGACCUGGGGUAGAAGCAAAUAAGAACUGCAUUGCGGAUGAACAUUACCUGCCUACAUUCUUCCAUAUGCUUGAUCCUGGAGGAAUCUCGAACUGGUCAGUCACGUAUGUUGAUUGGUCUGAGCGUAGAUGGCAUCCAAAGACAUACAGAGCUCGCGAUAUCUCACUCAAGUUCCUGAAAAAUAUCACGUCCGACGACAUGAGCGUGCACGUGACAAGCGUUGGCAAGCGUGGAGAUGAGCUGCAUUGGCCUUGUACAUGGAAUGGAAUUAGACGUCCAUGUUACCUAUUCGCGAGGAAGUUCCACUCAGAUUCUGUUAACAAACUGGUCAGACUCUUCCCAAACUACACCAGCACAGUGGUCUGAGAGAGAGAGAUAGAGAACCACCAGACACAAAUUCUUGCAACUGGAACGAAACACUUCCAGAUUAUCUUGAGACUGCAUUGGAUUGAAUCGCAUAUUACUGUAAAUUUUCUGAAGAAAAAUGCUUCUGGUACUUGAUGUCUAUUUAAUGGGACAAGGCUACUCUACUUUUUAAGCUGUAGCAGUAGUAUAAGAAAGAACUUAGAAGCAGAAAUUUUUGGUUAUUGUUUUUUUUUUACUCAUGGUUUGGUUAAGAGUGGACCGGUUUAUGAUGAUGUUGUAAUUUGAGCUGUUUGUAGUUUAGGCAGCACAAGGAGUUGAGAACUUUUACUAUAAAUAUGAUAUUUUUGCUCUUGUUUUUGAUUAAAAA